UACGAAGGGGGCUAGCGUUGUUCGGAAUUACUGGGCGUAAAGCGCACGUAGGCGGCUUUGUAAGUUAGAGGUGAAAGCCCGGAGCUCAACUCCGGAAUUGCCUUUAAGACUGCAUCGCUAGAAUUGUGGAGAGGUAAGUGGAAUUCCGAGUGUAGAGGUGAAAUUCGUAGAUAUUCGGAAGAACACCAGUGGCGAAGGCGACUUACUGGACACAUAUUGACGCUGAGGUGCGAAAGCGUGGGGAGCAAACAGG
rnacentral:rRNA from 1 species